rnacentral:rRNA from 1 species
AGCCAGACUCCUACGGGAGGCAGCAGUGGGGGAUAUUGCACAAUGGGGGAAACCCUGAUGCAGCGACGCCGCGUGAGUGAAGAAGUAUUUCGGUAUGUAAAGCUCUAUCAGCAGGGAAGAAAAUGACAGUACCUGACCAAGAAGCCCCGGCUAACUACGUGCCAGCAGCCGCGGUAAUACGUAGGGGGCAAGCGUUAUCCGGAAUUACUGGGUGUAAAGGGAGCGUAGACGGUAAUGCAAGUCUGGAGUGAAAGGCGGGGGCCCAACCCCCGGACUGCUCUGGAAACUGUGUAACUGGAGUGCAGGAGAGGCAGGCGGAAUUCCUAGUGUAGCGGUGAAAUGCGUAGAUAUUAGGAGGAACACCAGUGGCGAAGGCGGCCUGCUGGACUGUAACUGACGUUGAGGCUCGAAAGCGUGGGGAGCAAACAGGAUUAGAUACCCCCGUAGAC